GUGUGUGUGUGUGUGUGUGUGUGUGUGUGUGUACGUACGUACAUGUGUGUACACACACACACACACACACACACAC
rnacentral:miRNA from 1 species